rnacentral:rRNA from 1 species
GACGAACGCUGGCGGCGUGCUUAACACAUGCAAGUCGAACGGAAAGGCCCUGCUUUUGUGGGGUGCUCGAGUGGCGAACGGGUGAGUAACACGUGAGUAACCUGCCCUUGACUUUGGGAUAACUUCAGGAAACUGGGGCUAAUACCGGAUAGGAGCUCCUGCUGCAUGGUGGGGGUUGGAAAGUUUCGGCGGUUGGGGAUGGACUCGCGGCUUAUCAGCUUGUUGGUGGGGUAGUGGCUUACCAAGGCUUUGACGGGUAGCCGGCCUGAGAGGGUGACCGGCCACAUUGGGACUGAGAUACGGCACAGACUCCUACGGGAGGCAGCAGUGGGGAAUAUUGCACAAUGGGCGGAAGCCUGAUGCAGCAACGCCGCGUGCGGGAUGACGGCCUUCGGGUUGCAAACCGCUUUCGCCUGUGACGAAGCGUGAGUGACGGUAAUGGGUAAAGAAGCACCGGCUAACUACGU